GCUGAAUUUUUAAGUUCAAUUGAAAUAUAUCAGACUAAUCCUGAUGAACUUCCUGCAAACAUAAUGGACAACUUACAUCAGACUUACCCAAACUACACCAAUCUCACCAUUGAUUACAUCUGUUCUGAUUCUGACAAUAACUUCAAGACUGUGUCUGAGCUGGAGCCUUUCACAGACUACACCUGUACUGGUCAGAUCAAGGAAAACAAUGUCAACAAAAAAACCACGACUGCUAUCAUUGUCAACGUUAAGUGUGAUCUUCAAAUUGAAAAUGUAGAAAAA